ACCCCAGGUCCAGUCCUGUACCCCUCCACCCCAGGGCCAGUCCUGUACCCCUCCACCCCAGGGCCAGUCCUGUACCCCUCCACCCCAGGGCCAGUCCUGUACCCCUCCACCCCAGGGCCAGUCCUGUACCCCUAGCCCCUCCACCCCAGGGCCAGUCCUGUACCCCUCCACCCCAGGGCCAGUCCUGUACCCCUCCACCCCAGGGCCAGUCCUGUACCCCUCCACCCCAGGUCCAGUCCUGUACCCCUCCACCCCAGGGCCAGUCCUGUACCCCUCCACCCCAGGGCCAGUCCUGUACCCCUCCACCCCAGGUCAUGCUUAUUUUAACCCUCUUUAUCCUUGCCUGUCUCACUGACAACUCUCCAAUCUGGAAUGGCCCCUAUUCCCUAUCUAGUGCACUACUAGACCAACUAUGUCAUCUGGAACUAGUGAACUAGAAAGGGGAUAGGAGGCCAUUUUGUCAUGUGAUGCCAGAGGGGUCGUCUACAACAAGUUUUAUCUUCACACACCUGGACUGGACACACCUGGACUAGACACACUGUAACACAGAGACACACCUGGACUAGACACACCUGGACUAGACACACCUGGACUAGACACACACCUGGACUAGACACACACCUGGACUAGACACACACCUGGACUAGACACACUGUAACACAGAGACACACCUUGAUGAGACACACCUGGACUAGACACACUCUAACACA